CCGGGGGUACUGGUUAGUUCAUAUUGUUGUUUCACCUAUAGGGUUGCAGAUCCCUUUAGCUCCUUGCGUACUUUCUCUAGCUCCUCCAUCUACAUUAUAUUUUUAACAUUUACUGUUACUUACCUUUGUCAUUGUGAGUGUAUGCAUGUGUGUAUACUGCCUGUGGGAACCAGAAGGGGGCACCAAUUCUGCCGGAUAUGCACUUAGAGCUGCCUGUGAACUCCUUCCAUGACCACUGAGAAACAAAUGUGGAACAUCUGCAACAGCACUAUGAACCAUGAACUAAUGAAACCUAUCUCCAUCCUUCUCCUUACAUCCCUCCAUCCUCCUCCCUUCAUCCCUCCAUCCUCCUCCUUACAUCUCUCCAUCCUCCCCUUACAUCUCUCCAUCCUCCUCCUUACAUCCCUCCAUCCUCCUCCUUACAUCCCCCCAUCCUCCUCCCUUCAUCCCUCCAUCCUCCUCCUUACAUCCCUCCAUCCUCCUCCUUACAUCUCUCCAUCCUCCUCCUUACAUCUCUCCAUCCUCCUCCUUACAUCUCUCCAUCCUCC
rnacentral:lncRNA from 1 species